AUGUCAACGAUAUGCUUUGUUAACAGAUACUUGCAGGAUUUGGAAAUUGCUACCACAAGGACCCCGGUGAGACAGCCACAGGCUGCGAAACCGAGAGCUCAUAGAUGGAUUCCACCUGGAGUAAACGCAGCAAAAAUCAAUGUUGAUGGUGCUAUUUCCCGCCAAGGUGCGAUGGGAGCUUCAGCAACUGUUUGCAGGGAUCAAAACGGCAACUACCUUGGAGCCUCUGUGGUGGUAUUUGAUGGGCUAGUCGACACCCCAUGCCUUGAAGCUCAAGCAUGCAAUGAGGCUCUUGCCCUAGCGCAAGACUUGAUUCUGACACAUGCGAUAAUAGCGUCUGAUUGCUUGCAAGUUAUUCAAGACGUCAACGGAGUUUAG
rnacentral:rRNA from 1 species